AUCUUGAGAGCGGCGCACGGGUGCGGAACACGUGUGCAACCUGCCUUUAUCUGGGGGAUAGCCUUUCGAAAGGAAGAUUAAUACCCCAUAAUAUAUUGAGUGGCAUCACUUGAUAUUGAAAACUCCGGUGGAUAGAGAUGGGCACGCGCAAGAUUAGAUAGUUGGUGAGGUAACGGCUCACCAAGUCAAUGAUCUUUAGGGGGCCUGAGAGGGUGAUCCCCCACACUGGUACUGAGACACGGACCAGACUCCUACGGGGGGCAGCAGUGAGGAAUAUUGGACAAUGGGUGAGAGCCUGAUCCAGCCAUCCCGCGUGAAGGACGACUGCCCUAUGGGUUGUAAACUUCUUUUAUACUGGGAUAAACCUACCCUUCGUGAGGGUAGCUGAAGGUACAGUAUGAAUAAGCACCGGCUAACUCCGUGCCAGCAGCCGCGGUAAUACGGAGGGUGCAAGCGUUAUCCGGAUUUAUUGGGUUUAAAGGGUCCGUAGGCGGACUCGUAAGUCAGUGGUGAAAUCUCAUAGCUUAACUAUGAAACUGCCAUUGAUACUGCGGGUCUUGAGUAAAGUAGAAGUGGCUGGAAUAAGUAGUGUAGCGGUGAAAUGCAUAGAUAUUACUUAGAACACCAAUUGCGAAGGCAGGUCACUAUGUUUUAACUGACGCUGAUGGACGAAAGCGUGGGGAGCGAACAGGAUUAGAUACCCUGGUAGUCCACGCCGUAAACGAUGCUAACUCGUUUUUGGGUUUUCGGAUUCAGAGACUAAGCGAAAGUGAUAAGUUAGCCACCUGGGGAGUACGUUCGCAAGAAUGAAACUCAAAGGAAUUGACGGGGGCCCGCACAAGCGGUGGAUUAUGUGGUUUAAUUCGAUGAUACGCGAGGAACCUUACCAAGGCUUAAAUGGGAAUUGACAGGUUUAGAAAUAGAUCCUUCUUCGGACAAUUUUCAAGGUGCUGCAUGGUUGUCGUCAGCUCGUGCCGUGAGGUGUUAGGUUAAGUCCUGCAACGAGCGCAACCCCUGUCACUAGUUGCCAUCAUUCAGUUGGGGACUCUAGUGAGACUGCCUACGCAAGUAGAGAGGAAGGUGGGGAUGACGUCAAAUCAUCACGGCCCUUACGCCUUGGGCCACACACGUAAUACAAUGGCCGGUACAGAGGGCAGCUACUAUGCGAAUAGAUGCGAAUCUCGAAAGCCGGUCUCAGUUCGGAUUGGAGU
rnacentral:rRNA from 1 species